ensembl:lncRNA
UCACAGCAGCAGGAAGGUGGAGGAACCCACGCACCUGGGACGGAGCAGCCCCGGGUGCAGCAAAUGGAAGGUGCAGCGGAAGGAAGGGAUUGCGGUACAGACGUGCUGCCACAGGCGUGGACGCUAGGUGACCUCAGCCAGUGGCGGAAGGACAAAUACACUUCCGGCCCUUUCCAGGCGCCUGGAGGAGUCGAGUCCCAGGCACUGACAGGCAGCGCGGGGUAACCGGGCCAGCGUGGUCAGGGCGUCAGUGUGCAGCAGACGGCAGCCAGGGCUACACAGCAGCGUGAGAGUGCUUUACACUCAUCUGCGCGCCAGCCCGAAAGCACUCCAUCCGCAGAUGGUCGCUGUGAACAAAUCAGACACCAAACAGCGCUUUGAGGCCCAACAAGCAUGAGAUCAAAUAUGACAGCCGUGGGCACACCGAAGGAGAGAAGCCUCAACCCACCAAGCUGCUUCUUCAAAUAAGCCUUGGGGCACAGCCCACCCUGGCCACCAGCACCUUGGAACUGCUGAGGCAGCAAAGGUGACUCAGACGGGAGUGGAAACUGCACGCUGCUCUGGAAUCCCCGCCUGGGGAGCCCCAGACCCCAUGGGGCAGGAGGGAGCUGCAGGGCCAGGAAAAGGGAAUCGGGGCGCCCUGGAGUCCCUUCCUCCCCAAGAUGCCUCCUGUCUCCAAGUGGGUCUGGGAAGUCACCCGGGGCACCCCCAGACCUCACCGUGACAACACCCACCCGGCUUCUCUCCCGCUUCCCUGAGCUGGGGGCCUGUGUUGUGUGGGUCCCUCUGCCCACGGGCUCAUCUGUCCCUUUUCCGGGGUUCCACCCUGCUAAGCCCUGCUGAGAUCGCGGUGGCCCCGAUUCCCUCAUCAGACCCCAGCGCUUCCCAUGCAUCACCCAAAGCCACAAAUGAAACGGCUCAGAAUCAGCAGGUGGCUCCGGGGAGCCAGAACUGAACCCGGGAUCGUCGGGCUGGGGGCAGGAAUGGGCAGGGUCCUCUCCGCCUCCCCCACCGCGGCCUCCUACGUGGUCAGUUUGGCUCCGCAGGAUUCAGCUGUCCCCUCUCAUCACUGAGAUUUUUCUGGCUCUCAACCGGGCUUCCACUGGGCCGGGCCGGACCCGCCGGGAGCUAACCCUAACCUCCUCUGUGGCCCACCUGCCCCGUCAAUCUGAUUCCCGCCGCAUGGACUGUCAAUCACAGCGCGGACCGCCCCGUAUCAACGGCAGCCAAUCAGCGCCUCCGCCACGCCCCCACCCCACCCCCGCGCCUUGGACCCGCGGCUCCACCUUUGUCAUUGCUGCUCAGCAAGGCUGCUCUUCCUCGGUUUCCCCUCUGAAAAAUGGAAACGUAGGGAUGGCCGUGGUGGCACGUGCCUGUAAUCUCAGCAUUGUAGGAGGCUGAGGCAGGAGGAUGCAAACUGGAGCCCAGCCUAGACAAGUUACAGUAAUUUACCAAGACCUACUCUCAGAAUAAAAAAGGCUGGGAUGUGGCAGGGAUUCUACCCCGUGCCUACUCCUGCGAGUUCCCCUAGGUGUCCUGGCUAGGUCAGGCCCUGCCUACCUGCACGCACCCUCCCCAGGCUCGUCCCUCCAGGGACCCCAGCCUGCGGUUGGUGAGUGGCCCUUCCAGUCAGGGAAAGUGGAGGGGCUCUGGCCAAGAAUCACCUGUGGUGGCCCAUGAACACCUGUAAUCCCAGCACUGAGAGGAUGAGGCAGGAGGAUCCCAAAUUUAAGCCAAGCCCAGCCCGAGCAACUAGCGAUUUAGGAGACCCUGUCUCGAAAUCUGAAAAAAUAAAUAAAAGGCUGUGGGCUGGGGAUAUAGCUUGGUGGUAAGACCCUGGGUUCAAUCCCCAUGUCCCACUCCCCUAAAAUAAAAAAGCAACUCUGCCAACAGAGCAACAGC